GCGGCGGUGGCGGCGGCGGGGGUGCGGCGGUGAAGAUCUCCAGGUGGCGGCGGGAGAUGAAACUGGAGUGGCCCAUGCUCACGUCCACCGAGCCCUGCGACGAGUUGCGGCCGAUGGUCACCGAGCGCUUCUUCAUCAGCAUCCUAUUGACCUCGGAGGAAAGGAAACGAGGGCUUCGAGAGCCAGGACAGUCCUGUCAACCGGCAUCUACCCGUGCAACCUCCCCCUCAGGCGCGGGGUCUCUCCUGUGAGGAAAGCUGGCUUCCCGCCCUGCUACCCAGCCUGCUCCGCGCCCCCAACGCCUCAUGGCGGCGGCGCCCCGGGCUCUGACAGCUUGGAGCCGGGCACCACGGGGGGCUUUGCUCCACCGGCCGGGGAUUUUACGGGAUGAACGGAGCAGGGCUCGGCUCCACCGGCUGUUUGUAAACACUACGAGGCCGUGGGCGGCGCCGGGAGCGCGGUCCCGGCACCGCCCCAAGGGUUCUGUGAGAAAAACGGGUCCGGGCAGGACUGAGGGCGGCGUAGCGGCGUUUUCUGACAGGAUUAUUUCACGGUUACGCCACAGCCCGUUGCCGGCUGAAGUUAAAACACGUUUUCUUGGGUUGUACGAGCAGUUUUGGGAGGCGACACCGUCACCCUCGAGCGGUUCUGGGAAGCAGGCGGUCACGCGCCUGAAACUGCAAUGGAGUUAGAGAAGAUGAUGCUGGCGACCAAAAAAUAAAGAUGAAGCACACAACCUUAACGCCUCGGUUUGUUGCAAGCAACAGCAGACGACAAAAUUCAGACAAACGCUCUAAAUUUAAAAUAUCCCGUUCACCCUCAGAGGAUAAUUAUUCACAAAGCAGCAGCUCUAAAAACACCACAGGAUUUUUUUUUCUUUAAAAGCCACAGCAGCAGUACUGCAUGUUAACUGGGAGCUGAGAACCCCCACUACUUUGCAACUCUCCACUUCCCAACAGGUUACUGGUUUUACCACUAGGCUUGUAUAAUAAUCAGAGAAGCUGACCUUUACCAGAUGCAACAUUUACCAUACUUAACAUUGAGAAUCACAGUUAUUAUUAGUUAUAAUUGCAACUAAGCAAAAUUCUUUGAUUUUUCUUCACGUUAUUUUGCCAUUUUUGCCACUGUAUAUUUUACAUACCUGGUCACUUGAUCAGGAGCUGUAUAACUCCAAGUCAACAGUUCACAGUACCUGUUAAAACAUACCUCAGACUGAAAUGACUUCUCCAUUUUUGCUAUCAGAAUACAUCAGUCCUGGAAUAUCACUGUGGAAAGGGUGUUUGCUGAUUUUUAUUUCUUUGAGAGCUCCAAUUGUUCAGACUAUUUGCUAUGCAUAUGCCACUACAGGUAUUUGAAUAAAAUUAUAUAACUUGCCAUGAAAACUCA